UUAAAAUCAUACUAAAGAUGAUGCUGUGUCUGAUGAAAGUGAUUCUAAACCAUAGAAAAACGAUUCAAGACAGACAAGAGCUGCAGCAGUGGGUAGAGGACUCCUACAGAUGAGAGCUCUGUGCUCAAGCCUUGCAGAGGGAGAUGGCAGAGAGGAAGGCUGCCUGCAAGCAGCACAGGGCCUCAUCCAGCUCCUGCAGCUGUCAGUCCUCUCAGACCUCAUCCACCUGCAGCUGUCAGUCCUCUCAGACCUCAUCAACCUGCAGCUGUCAGUCCUCUGGGACCUCAUCCACCUCCUGCAACUGGCAGUCCUCCCGGAUCUCAUCUACCUGCAGCUGUCAGUCCUCCGGGACCUCAUCCACCUCCUG
ensembl:lncRNA novel transcript